rnacentral:rRNA from 1 species
GAUGAACGCUAGCUACAGGCUUAACACAUGCAAGUCGAGGGGCAGCAUGGUCUUAGCUUGCUAAGGCCGAUGGCGACCGGCGCACGGGUGAGUAACACGUAUCCAACCUGCCGUCUACUCUUGGACAGCCUUCUGAAAGGAAGAUUAAUACAAGAUGGCAUCAUGAGUCCGCAUGUUCACAUGAUUAAAGGUGUUCCGGUAGACGAUGGGGAUGCGUUCCAUUAGAUAGUAGGCGGGGUAACGGCCCACCUAGGCUACGAUGGAUAGGGGUUCUGAGAGGAAGGUCCCCCACAUUGGAACUGAGACACGGUCCAA